CGACCCGUGAAGGCGAUCCUGACGGUUCUCCGCAGUUCGGUCACCUUCGACUGGCGCACAGCGCCAAAUGUUUCGUCUUGUCCUCCCUGACGUCCCUAUGGUAUGGGUUUGGCCGAUUGUUGAUCGUGGAAAAAGAAUCGAAGCCCGAAAGCUUCAGAUUUUCCGGCGAAGCUUCUGCAGUUUCUGGUGAUCGUCGGAGUUACAUGAGUUUCUGGGUUAUUCUGGCCAUUUUGGAAUUCUCCCCGAGUUCAGAUCGAUUUUGAUUCCACCUUCUAGAGUUCCAGGCUCCAGCCACCUUGCUCCUUGAACUCUUGAAGGCUUCAAAUCUUCAAACCCUGAAUCUCAUAUUCUCAGAUCAAGGACAAGCUGGCGGAGUUGGGCGAGGAGGUAUGUAGAACAGUAGAAGAGAUAAGGAUGCUCAUAUUCAUCUCGGAAAUAUAGACAUGAAGAAGUUUGAUAUAAAAGCACCCGCAAAUAUUGGUGAUAUGUUGGCUCUCUCUCUUCUUCUCCAUGCACUGAGAAUGUCAUCUGGAACAUCCUUGAAAAUUGUUUGAUGGGUUUAUGAAUGUGCUUUGUUUUUGAGUUUAUUUGGGAGAUGAAAAUGGUUU